GCGGGCGAAAUGAAAAAAGAAAAAACGGGAUUGGAAAUGGAGGUUAAUAAAAUUCAGAAUAUUGCAAAACAAGGACAGUGUACAGCGUGUUUAAAUCUUCUAGAAAUGCAGCUGUGCCCUCUUUACAGCAAUUAUAGAUGAAGCAAAGUAUGGUAGCAAGUUAUAUAGAUAUACACACAUGCCGAAGAAGAUUGUAAUAUCUGGAGAUAACAUUUCCUACGUCACGAAAUAGACACCGUCACACUGGUCUACGUAACAUUCCUAUAGAUGAUUGAUAUACAUGUAUUUAAGUGCUUUUAAGAACUGUGUUUGAGUGACGAAUUUCUGUGAAUACGGAUUUUUAGUUUUAAUGAUUAUUAUUAAAACUUUCUGUAAUAAUCAAUUUGUGCUAUGGACUCAUUUUCCUAAAAUAAUAUGUGAAUGUUAACACGAACAAAUGAUAUGAAUAUCUUUAAAAUGUUUUAUAGGUGUAAUACAAGUGGCUCAUAAAAAUCAUUGAAUAGAAAAGAACUUCAAGUUGGUAUAGUUGUUUCUAGAUUUAAACAACAUGCAAUUCAUAAAGGUUACGGCUUGCAAAUAUCGAAAACUGUACAUGUAUAAUUCGAUCUCUAAAGAAAAUAUCGCAGUGCGGUUUUUCUCCACCGUGAUACGUAUUUCAUGACUCUGUAUCGCAACAUAACGGUAUAUCGCCGUUCCGUUGCAACGCUACAUUAA